UCCCUGGUGGCUCAGAUGGUAAAGCGUCUGCCUGCAAUGAGGGAGACCCAGGUUCGAUUCCUGGGUCGGGAA
rnacentral:tRNA from 1 species